UACGGAGGGUGCGAGCGUUGUCCGGAAUCACUGGGCGUAAAGGGCGCGUAGGCGGCCUGAUAAGUAGGGGGUGAAAUCUUGCGGCUUAACCGCAAGGCUGCCUUCUAAACUGUCAGGCUAGAGCACAGUAGAGGCAGGUGGAAUUCCCGGUGUAGCGGUGGAAUGCGUAGAGAUCGGGAAGAACACCCGUGGCGAAGGCGGCUCUCUGGAACGCAACUGACGCUGAGACGCGAAAGCGUGGGGAGCAAACAGG
rnacentral:rRNA from 1 species